rnacentral:rRNA from 1 species
GAGGAAUAUUGGACAAUGGGUGGAAGCCUGAUCCAGCCAUCCCGCGUGUAGGACGACUGCCUUAUGGGUUGUAAACUACUUUUAUCUGGGGAUAAACCUACUCACGUGUGAGUAGCUGAAGGUACCAGAAGAAUAAGCACCGGCUAACUCCGUGCCAGCAGCCGCGGUAAUACGGAGGGUGCAAGCGUUAUCCGGAUUUAUUGGGUUUAAAGGGUCCGUAGGCGGAUUAAUCAGUCAGUGGUGAAAUCCCGCAGCUUAACUGUGGAACUGCCAUUGAUACUGUUAGUCUUGAGUGAUGUUGAAGUGGCUGGAAUGUGUAGUGUAGCGGUGAAAUGCUUAGAUAUUACGCAGAACACCAAUUGCGAAGGCAGGUCACUAAGUAUCAACUGACGCUGAUGGACGAAAGCGUGGGGAGCGAACA